rnacentral:rRNA from 1 species
AGUCGAGGGGCAGCACGGUGUAGCAAUACACUGGUGGCGACCGGCGCACGGGUGAGUAACACGUGUGCAACCAACCCCGUACCGGGAGAUAACCCGCGGAAACGUGGACUAACAUCCCAUAAUACUGGAGGAUCGCAUGAUCUUUCACUUAAAAUUCCGGUGGUACGGGACGGGCACGCGCGACAUUAGGUAGUUGGCGGGGUAAGGGCCCACCAAGCCGACGAUGUCUAGGGGUUCUGAGAGGAAGGUCCCCCACACUGGAACUGAGACACGGUCCAGACUCCUACGGGAGGCAGCAGUGAGGAAUAUUGGUUAAUGGGCGAGAGCCUGAACCAGCCAAGUCGCGUGAGGGAAGAAUGGUCUAUGGCCUGUAAACCUCUUUUGCCAGGGAAGAAUAAAAGGUACGUGUACCUUCUUGCCAGUACCUGACGAAUAAGCAUCGGCUAACUCCGUGCCAGCAGCCGCGGUAAUACGGGGGAUGCGAGCGUUAUCCGGAUUUAUUGGGUUUAAAGGACGCGUAGGCGGGACGCCAAGUCAGCGGUAAAAGACUGCAGCUAAACUGUAGCACGCCGUUGAAACUGGCGACCUGGAGACGAGACGAGGGAGGCGGAACAAGUGAAGUAGCGGUGAAAUGCUUAGAUAUCACUUGGAACCCCGAUAGCGAAGGCAGCUUCCCAGGCUCGAUCUGAC